UUUUUAGGUCUGGUAAUUGGAAUGAGUACAAUUUAAAUCCCUUAACGAGUAUCCAUUGGAGGGCAAGUCUGGUGCCAGCAGCCGCGGUAAUUCCAGCUCCAAUAGCGUAUAUUAAAGUUGCUGCAGUUAAAAAGCUCGUAGUUGGAUUUCUGGCUUGAAACAUUUGGCCGGCCACGGUUUCGUGUGUUAGUGCUUUGUGUUCUGGCCAUCCUUCCAAUCGCAAUUGGCUAUUCUUCAUUGAUUGGUCAGUUGUAUUGGAUCUUUUACUUUGAAAAAAUUAGAGUGUUUCAAGCAGGCUUUAUGCUAUGAAUACAUUAGCAUGGAAUAAUAAUUUAGGACUUCGGUUCUAUUUUGUUGGUUUCUAGGACUGAAGUAAUGAUUGAUAGGGAUAGUUGGGGGUGCUAGUAUUCAGCGGCCAGAGGUGAAAUUCUCGGAUUCGCUGAAGACUAACUUAUGCGAAAGCAUUCACCAAGGAUGUCUUCUUUAAUCAAGAACGAAAGUUGGGGGAUCGAAGACGAUCAGAUACCGUCGUAGUCUCAACCAUAAACUAUGCCGACUAGGGAUGAGUGAACGUUGCAUUUUCGACUUCAUUCGCACCUUAUGAGAAAUCAAAGUCUUUGGGUUCCGGGGGGAGUAUGGUCGCAAGGCUGAAACU
rnacentral:rRNA from 1 species